GCCCUUCGGGGUACUCGAGCGGCGAACGGGUGAGUAACACGUGAGUAAUCUGCCCCAGGCUCUGGGAUAGCCACCGGAAACGGUGAUUAAUACCGGAUACGACAACCGAUUGCAUGAUCUGGUUGUGGAAAGUUUUUCGGCCUGGGAUGUGCUCGCGGCCUAUCAGCUUGUUGGUGAGGUAAUGGCUCACCAAGGCUUCGACGGGUAGCCGGCCUGAGAGGGUGACCGGCCACACUGGGACUGAGACACGGCCCAGACUCCUACGGGAGGCAGCAGUGGGGAAUAUUGGACAAUGGGCGGAAGCCUGAUCCAGCAACGCCGCGUGAGGGAUGACGGCCUUCGGGUUGUAAACCUCUUUCAGCACAGACGAAGCGCAAGUGACGGUAUGUGCAGAAGAAGGACCGGCCAACUACGUGCCAGCAGCCGCGGUAAUACGUAGGGUCCGAGCGUUGUCCGGAAUUAUUGGGCGUAAAGGGCUCGUAGGCGGUCUGUCGCGUCGGGAGUGAAAACCAGGUGCUUAACACCUGGCCUGCUUUCGAUACGGGCAGACUAGAGGUACUCAGGGGAGAAUGGAAUUCCUGGUGUAGCGGUGAAAUGCGCAGAUAUCAGGAGGAACACCGGUGGCGAAGGCGGUUCUCUGGGAGUAUCCUGACGCUGAGGAGCGAAAGUGUGGGGAGCGAACAGGAUUAGAUACCCUGGUAGUCCACACCGUAAACGUUGGGCGCUAGGUGUGGGAUCCA
rnacentral:rRNA from 1 species